rnacentral:rRNA from 1 species
GGAGGAAAACAAACUUAAACAGGAUUUUUCUUAGUUAACUGCGAGUGAACAGAGAUUAGCCCAACAUCGAAGCUCGCAAGCAUAUUGUUUGUUGAGCAAUGUGAUGUUAAGAUGUUUGUUAACGUAGACUGGCCGACUUGAAGUCCCAAAUUUGAAUGUGGCAUAUAUGUAUAAACCCAAAGAUGGUGAAAGGCCCGUUCAAGUUGGUAAUCAGACUUGACAGUUUGCGUGUAUGCAUUCAUCUUGGAGUCGGAUUGCUUGAGAGUGCAGUCCAAAGUUGGUGGUAAACUCCAUCUAAGGCUAAAUACCUGUACGAGUCCGAUAGUUAACAAGUACCGUGAGGGAAAGUUGAAAAGUACUCUGAAGAGAGAGUAAAUAGUACGUGAAACUACAUGGAGGUUAAUCAGAUAGAGUCAAGCUGCUUACUAUUAAACAUUGCUUUACAUGUUAAUAAAGUAAUAAAGGCAUAUACUGUAUACAGUGCAAUACUUGCCAGUCUAUUCUUAGACGGGUACUUUAUUGUAAAUAAUUUACCAAGUAUACAUGUGUAUAUGUCAACAUGUAUUGUUUAUGUUGAUAGUUAGUGCCACAAUCGUUUACCUGAUCAGAUAAUUUUAAUCAGCCGUGUUUGUUUUGAUUGCAAAAUCUAAAUGAACACAUGGUUGAACAGUUGGUUUGAUUACGUCUCUUCGGAGCGUUGUCUUACUAAAAAGGGUUACGACCCGUUGGUUAAAGUUAUAUUCUGUGUUGGUAAACGGUAAAACAUAUACAUGUUAAGUUUGUAAAUCAUAGUUCGACUUAAUGUAAAAGUUAUGUUGACUAUGUGCAAACGUGUAUGUUAAUUGUGGUUCUGUGGUAGACUUUCUAUUUGACCCGUCUUGAA